UGGGGGAUAUUGCACAAUGGGCGAAAGCCUGAUGCAGCGACGCCGCGUGGGGGAUGAAGGCUUUCGGGUUGUAAACCUCUUUCGCUAUCGAACAAGGCCCGCUUAGGGUGGGUUGAGGGUAGGGGGAGAAGAAGCGCCGGCUAACUACGUGCCAGCAGCGGCGGUAAUACGUAGGGCGCGAGCGUUGUCCGGAAUUAUUGGGCGUAAAGGGCUUGUAGGCGGCUUGUUGCGCCUGCUGUGAAAACGCGGGGCUUAACUUCGCGCGUGCAGUGGGUACGGGCAGGCUUGAGUGUGGUAGGGGUGACUGGAAUUCCAGGUGUAGCGGUGGAAUGCGCAGAUAUCUGGAGGAACACCGAUGGCGAAGGCAGGUCACUGGGCCAUUACUGACGCUGAGGAGCGAAAGCAUGGGUAGCGAACAGG
rnacentral:rRNA from 1 species